rnacentral:rRNA from 1 species
AUACGUAGGGGGCGAGCGUUGUCCGGAAUGACUGGGCGUAAAGGGCGUGUAGGCGGCGGUGUAAGUCUGGAGUGAAAGUCCCGCAUUCAAUGUGGGAAUUGCUUUGGAUACUGCAGUGCUAGAGUGCGGAAGAGGUAAGUGGAAUUCCCAGUGUAGCGGUGAAAUGCGUAGAGAUUGGUGGGAACACCAGUGGCGAAGGCGACUUACAGGGCCGUAACUGACGCUGAGGCGCGAGAGCGUGGGGAGAGAACAGGAUUAGAUCCCCUGGUAGUCCACGCGGUAAACGAUGAAUGCUAGGUGUUGCGGGUAUCGACCCCUGCAGUGCCGGAGUAAACACAAUAAGCAUUCCGCCUGGGGAGUACGGCCGCAAGGUUGAAACUCAAAUGAAUUGACGGGG